rnacentral:rRNA from 1 species
UACGGAGGAUGCAAGCGUUAUCCGGAAUGAUUGGGCGUAAAGGGUCCGCAGGUGGUAGUGUAAGUCUGCUGUUAAAGAGUCACGCUCAACGUGAUAAAAGCAGUGGAAACUACACAACUAGAGUACGGUAGGGGCAGAAGGAAUUCCUGGUGUAGCGGUGAAAUGCGUAGAUAUCAGGAAGAACACCGGUGGCGAAAGCGUUCUGCUAGACCUGUACUGACACUGAGGGACGAAAGCUAGGGGAGCGAAUGGG